GACGAACGCUGGCGGCGUGCUUAACACAUGCAAGUCGAACGGAAAGGCCCUGCUUUUGUGGGGUGCUCGAGUGGCGAACGGGUGAGUAACACGUGAGUAACCUGCCCUUGACUUUGGGAUAACUUCAGGAAACUGGGGCUAAUACCGGAUAGGAGCUCCUGCUGCAUGGUGGGGGUUGGAAUGUUUCGGCGGUUGGGGAUGGACUCGCGGCUUAUCAGCUUGUUGGUGGGGUAGUGGCUUACCAAGGCUUUGACGGGUAGCCGGCCUGAGAGGGUGACCGGCCACAUUGGGACUGAGAUACGGCCCAGACUCCUACGGGAGGCAGCAGUGGGGAAUAUUGCACAAUGGGCGGAAGCCUGAUGCAGCAACGCCGCGUGCGGGAUGACGGCCUUCGGGUUGUAAACCGCUUUCGCCUGUGACGAAGCGUGAGUGACGGUAAUGGGUAAAGAAGCACCGGCUAACUACGUGCCAGCAGCCGCGGUGAUACGUAGGGUGCGAGCGUUGUCCGGAUUUAUUGGGCGUAAAGGGCUCGUAGGUGGUUGAUCGCGUCGGAAGUGUAAUCUUGGGGCUUAACCCUGAGCGUGCUUUCGAUACGGGUUGACUUGAGGAAGGUAGGGGAGAAUGGAAUUCCUGGUGGAGCGGUGGAAUGCGCAGAUAUCAGGAGGAACACCAGUGGCGAAGGCGGUUCUCUGGGCCUUUCCUGACGCUGAGGAGCGAAAGCGUGGGGAGCGAACAGGCUUAGAUACCCUGGUAGUCCACGCUGUAAACGGUGGGUACUAGGUGUGGGGUCCAUUCCACGGGUUCCGUGCCGUAGCUAACGCUUUAAGUACCCCGCCUGGGGAGUACGGCCGCAAGGCUAAAACUCAAAGGAAUUGACGGGGCCCCGCACAAGCGGCGGAGCAUGCGGAUUAAUUCGAUGCAACGCGUAGAACCUUACCUGGGUUUGACAUGGAUCGGGAGUGCUCAGAGAUGGGUGUGCCUCUUUUGGGGUCGGUUCACAGGUGGUGCAUGGCUGUCGUCAGCUCGUGUCGUGAGAUGUUGGGUUAAGUCCCGCAACGAGCGCAACCCUUGUUCACUGUUGCCAGCACGUUAUGGUGGGGACUCAGUGGAGACCGCCGGGGUCAACUCGGAGGAAGGUGGGGAUGACGUCAAGUCAUCAUGCCCCUUAUGUCCAGGGCUUCACGCAUGCUACAAUGGCUGGUACAGAGAGUGGCGAGCCUGUGAGGGUGAGCGAAUCUCGGAAAGCCGGUCUCAGUUCGGAUUGGGGUCUGCAACUCGACCUCAUGAAGUCGGAGUCGCUAGUGAUCGCAGAUCAGCAACGCUGCGGUGAAUACGUUCCCGGGGCU
rnacentral:rRNA from 1 species